rnacentral:rRNA from 1 species
GGUUAAGUGACUAAGCGUACACGGUGGAUGCCUUGGCAGUCAGAGGCGAUGAAGGACGUAGUAACUUGCGAUAAGCCCAGAUUAGGUAGUAACAACCAUUUGAGUCUGGGAUUUCCGAAUGGGGAAACCCACUUACAUAAGUAAGUAUCCUUACCUGAAUACAUAGGGUAAGGAGGCGAACCGGGGGAACUGAAACAUCUAAGUACCCCGAGGAAAAGAAAUCAACC